rnacentral:rRNA from 1 species
GACGAACGCUGGCGGCGUGCUUAACACAUGCAAGUCGAACGGAAAGGCCCUGCUUUUGUGGGGUGCUCGAGUGGCGAACGGGUGAGUAACACGUGAGUAACCUGCCCUUGACUUUGGGAUAACUUCAGGAAACUGGGGCUAAUACCGGAUAGGAGCUCCUGCUGCAUGGUGGGGGUUGGAAAGUUUCGGCGGUUGGGGAUGGACUCGCGGCUUAGCAGCUUGUUGGUGGGGUAGUGGCUUACCAAGGCUUUGACGGGUAGCCGGCCUGAGAGGGUGACCGGCCACAUUGGGACUGAGAUACGGCCCAGACUCCUACGGGAGGCAGCAGUGGAGAAUAUUGCACAAUGGGCGGAAUCCUGAUGCAGCAACGCCGCGUGCGAGAUGACGGCCUUCGGGUUGUAACCCGCUUUCGCCUGUGACGAAGCGUGAGUGACGGUAAUGGGUAAAGAAGCACCGGCUAACUACGUG